UUUUUUUUUUUUUUUUUUUUUUGUCUUUUUGCCAUUUCUUGGGCCGCUCCUGCGGCACAUGGAGGUUCCCAGGCUAGGGGUUGAAUCGGAGCUGUAGCCGCUGGACCACGCCAGAGCCACAGCAACGCCAGAUCUGAGCCUUGUCUGCAACCUACACCACAGCUCACGGCAAUGCCAGAUCCUUAACCCACUGAGUGAGGCCAGGGAUCAAACCCGAAACCUCAUGGUUCCUAGUCAGAUUUGCUAACCAGAGCCACAACGGGAACUCCUGUACCACAUCUUCUUGAGCCACUCCUCUGUCGUUGGACAUUUAGGUUGUUUCCAUGUCUUGGCUAUUGCAAAUAGUGCUUCAAUGAACAUCAGAGUACAUGUGUCUUUGCGAGUCAGGGUUUUCUCUGGAUAGAUGCUCAGGAGUGGGAUUGCUGGAUCAAAUGGUAGCUCUAUGUUUAGUUUUCUGAGGAAUCUUCAUACUGUUUUCCACAGUGGUUGCACCAAGUUACAGUCUCACCAACAGUGUAAGAGGGGUCCUUUUUCUCCACACCCUCUCCAGCACUAAUUGUUUGUAGACUUUUGGAUGAUGGCCAUUCUGGCUGGUGUAAGGUGGUACCUCAUAGUGGUUUUGAUGUGCAUUUCUCUAAUAAUGAGCGAUGUUGAACAUUUUUCAUGUGUUUCUUGGCAUGUCUUCUUUGGAGAACUGUCUUCUUUGGAGAACUGUCUGUUUCGAUCUUCCACCCAUUUUUUGAUGGGUUUUGUUUUUUUUUUUUGGUAUGGAGCUGCAGAAGGUGUUUAUAAAUUUUGGAGAUUAAUCCCUUGUCAGUCGCUUCACUUGCAAAGAUUUUCUCCCAUUCUGUGGGUUGUCUUUUCAUUUUGUUUAGGGUUUCCUUUGCUGUGCAGAAACUUUUCAGUUGGAUUAGGUCCCGUUUAUUUUUGCUUUUAUUGUCAAUACCGUAAGAGGUGGAUCUGAGAAGAUGUUGCUAUCGUUUAUGUCAGAGAGUGUUUGGCCUAUGUUUUCCUCUAGGAGUUUGAUAGUGUCUGGUCUUAUAUCUAGGUCUUUAAUCUAUUUGGAGUUUAUUUUUGUGUAUGGUGUUAGGGAGUGUUCUGAUUUCAUUCUUUUCCAUGUGGCUGUCCAGUUUUCCCAGCACCACUGAUUGAACAAGCUGUCCUUUCUCCAUUGUAUCUUCUUGCCUCCUUUGUCAUAGAUGAGUUGACUGUAGGUGCGUGGGUUUAAUUCUGGUCUUUCUAUCCUGUUCUGCUGAUCUGUAUUUCUGUCUUUGUGCCAGUACCAUGUGGUUUUGAUGACUGUUGCUUUGUAGUAUAGUCUGAAGUUCUGGGAGCCUGAUUCCUCUAGCUCCAUUUUUCUUUUUCAGGAUGUCUUUGGCUAUUCUGGGUCUCUUGUGCUUCCAAACAAACUUUAAAAUAUUUUGUUCAAGUUCUGUGAAAAAUGUCGUUGGUAAUUUGAUAAGGAUUGCAUUGAAUCUGUAUAUUGACUUAGGUGGUAUAGUCAUUUUGAUAAACAUUUCCCUUUUCAUCAUUACAUGGUAGAAUGAAUGUUUAGAUGGCCCUCUCUGAUUAUUAUUUACAUUUACUACUGUAUUAAUGUAUGAAGAUCACAAAGUGGCUAAAAAUGAUCAGAAGGUGGGAUUUAUUACAGGAUGACUAUAAUUAUUUCAUACUGAUGAUAGGUCUCCAAAAUUGGAGCUAUAGCCGCCAGCCUACACCACAGCCACAGCAAUGCCAGAUCUGACUCACGUCUGGGACCUACACCACAGCUCAUGGCAAUGCCAGAUUCCCAACCCACUGAGGAGGCUAGAGAUCGAAUCCACAACCUCAUGGUUAUCAGUCGGACUCGUUUCUACUGCACCACAAUGGGAACUCCUAGCAGUAAUUUAAUAUUUCAGUUUCUACAACUUUGUGGUAGGAAAGAAAGGUGAAAGGAUUUAGAAAGAGCUGAGAACACCAGGUACAGACAGGAGUUUGUGUUUAAACACAAUUUUCUGAAGUUCUCUUCUGACAACUGCUAAGUUAAGGACAGAAAACCUGGGUGCUAAGGUAAAGCUUGAACAUCAUGGUCCCAGCCCUUUUUAAAUCAGUAUUCCAAAAGAAAACCGAUGACAUCAAAGAAGAGGCUAGUUUGUGGUAUUUUAUAUACAAAGGGACUGUUUUUUCUUUUUUCUUUCUUUCUUUUUUUUUUUUGUCUUUUUGCUGUUUCUUGGGCCAUUCCCAUGGCAUAUGGAGGUUCCAAAGCCAGGGGUCCAAUCAGAGCUGUUGCUGCUGGCCUAUGCCACAGCCACAGCAACACCAGAUUUGAGCUACGUCUGUGACCUACACCACAGUUCAUGGCAAUGCCAGAUCCUUAACCCCCUGAGCGAGGCUGGGGAUCGGACCUGCAACCUCAUGGUUCCUAGUUGGAUUCGUUUCCGCUGAGCACAAGAACUCCUGUUUUAGAAAUUUUAAGUAAACGAUGUAUUUACCAGGGGUAGGCUUGUUACCUCCAUUCAUUCACUAAUGCUUUCAUUAACUUUCAUUUUAAAAGAUGCAUUGAACAACCACUUACUCUACUAUACAUCUGGGGAGUAAAAACAAAUAAAAUCGAGACUUGUUUCCUUUCCUCAAGAUGCUCCCCAUCCGGUAAUGUGGGAGCAGAUAAGGAACACCUGAGAAGAAGGUACGUUGGCAUUCAAGAGACAUCCAGAUAAAAACACAUGUGUAAAGAUGCUCAUUAAAUACAAAUUGUAGGAGUUCUCUUGUGGUGCAGCAGGUUAAGGACCUGGCGAUGUCACUGUAGUGGAUCAGGCUGCCGCUGUGGCAUGGGUUCGUCCCUGGCCUGGGAAGUUCCACAUGCCUCAGGCAUGGCCAAAAAAAAGUUGUAGGUGGCAACCCAGUGUGGGUGCCAAAAGAAGAAAGAAGAAAAGAAACAGGAGGAGAUGAAGAAAGAAGACAAGAAGAAAGGGAAGUGACAUCAUAAGUCCUUGAGCUCCUAAGCUUUUCCCUCUGCAACACACACAGUGGGCACUGUUCACUGAUAUGCGGUUCCCCCCAGGGUGCUUGACUUAGGGGCUGUGGCCUAGAUAAGGUAUUUGCAAUUUCUGGUGCAAAACUAUACCAUUCUUUUCUCUCCCACAUUGGAAGGCCAUUAUCAUAGAGAAAACCUGGAGUCAUUUCUAAUAUAUACGAAAAGCAAACUAUUUUCAAACUUUGGUUCUUCAAUUCCUAUUCAGAGCAAUUUGCACAGAAGUAACUCACCAUAACCACAUGACAACUAUGACAGGUCUUGUCUGUGCCUCGUGCAGGGGCCACCAUCAAUCUUCCUUCUUCACAGACGUGAUUUUGUGGAGCAUUUAGCAGUGUUCUCCCCAGCAUGGUUGAUGGUCUAUUUGUGGUAGGUGAGUGGCAACAGAGAGAAAAACAAACUCAAAAAUCAGCAGCUUCUGCAUUCAAAAAAUUGGCAAUACAAGACCAAAGUGGAGACUAAAGAGUGAAAAGAAUAAAACUGCAAUUGCGCUAACAUAGUGACCACUGUGCUUCUUCUUGUUUCCAAUAGAAAUGUAUGAUAGAUCUCUUUUAGCAAAUAAGAAACCCACCACCAGUUAGAUAUUUGACACUGGCCAGUUUUAUUAGUUUCUAGGGCUUAGCCUAUACUCAAAGCCAGUAUUAAAAGCAAAAAAAAAAAAAAAAAAAAAAAAAAAAAAAAAAAAAAAAAACAAAAAACAAACAAACAAACAAAAAAAAACCAGUAGGUAACUUUCUUUCAGGUCUAAAACUGUAUACUUGUGUAUUUAGAAAAACAGUAAUUGAGGAUAAGUACACUACACUGAAAAGCAUGAUGCAUUCAAGUUCUUCUCACUCAUAAAUUGACAAUAAGUUCUCCAAAAUCAGGUAACUGGGAGGCUUGGCUGUUAAAUGAAUAGUGGAAACUUUUCAUGAGGGGAACUAUUCCUUUCAAGUUUGAAUCUCUUCACAUUCUGCCAUUCUUAAAGUGGCUGGUUUGCUCUUCCAAUAGGGUGCAAGCCUAAUACAACAUCUUGGUGCAAAUUAGGAAGUGCCCCCUCAGGGAUCACGCAGCCCUGCCAACUUGUGGCUCUGUGUGAAAAGGAAGGAUCCCCUCACUCUGGGCCCCAGGCCACCGAACAGCAGCCCUACUCACCCCAUGGGCACCCAGGUGCCUUGAUUCCAGUGCCAGAAAAUAUGGCUUCCCAAACAAUACACCGAACACCUCCCAAUGCUGGGCACUUGGCCAGGCACUGGAAAUAAAAAAAGGAAUAAAACAGAGUCUACUUUUGGAGCCUGGGAAGAGGGCCAUGUAAACAGAUUACCACAAUGAGAAAGAACUAGUAAAGUGAUCAAAGAGAAGCACACACAAGUUGCUACUGAAUCACAAAAGAAGGAACCACUCAUUUCUCUUCGAUGUGGCCUGAUCAAGGAAAAUUAGAAAGGAAGAGGUAUUUGAACUGGGGUUCAAUGGGUAAGGAGUAGAAGUUUAUGAGGCAAGAAAAGGGUAGUAUGACUUUUGGUGACAAGGACAAGCUCGAGAGUUUCUUCCGGUACCCCAAACUCAGGGAAGCUUCAGUUGCAGCUUUAUCACUUUGAUCUAGGUCUUGGGUCCCCACCAUUCUGUUGGGUUUGUCUAUGUCUCUUUUUGCUUUUGAAGUGAUGCAGACGAGCUCAGCAGUGGGGCUUGUAUAAACAGAGUAAUAAACAGUGUUCACUUGCCAGAACUGUCCCCCUGCAUAGCUCUCUCGGGAGUCUGAAGAGGCAGGAGGUGACUGGUCAAAGGCUGGGGAUUUGGGACUGCGGCCAGAUGGCCUCCUCGAAGACACAGCACACAAGGACAUUCCAGGAAGCGGGAGCAGAAUAAUCCCACAGUAUUUUGUUUGCCAGAUGGAAAUAUCCUCAGCGACAAACAUUUAAUUUGCCUGCAGGUGUGACCUUUGGUUAUGCAACAGAAUUGUGGAUUAGCUAGAACUGACUUUUUGAAAGACCUAGAUUGCUUAUUUCCCUAGAAGGAUCAGUUAGUUUUGCUCAGAAAAGCUGUUCUAAGACCACAGGCUACAUUCCUAACUCUAGUGAACCUUCCCCCUUGUUGGCCCGUGUGACUGGUUGCUAGAAGACUCAGGAGGGAGCAUGUGCAUAGCACAGGCCACAUGAGCCACUAUCACUCUCAGAUAAGCAACUCUGUGUGUGUCCUUCUGGCAGGAAGUCAGAUACGUCUUUUCUGGGCUGUUAAGGGAGAGCAGUCACAUGCAGGCUUCCGAUACACUGUCCUGGGGCGCAAGGGUCAGAGGCAAUGAACUUUAUUUCUUUCCCUAGAGGUAGGCACUCUGACACUGCUGUGAUGUUCUGAAAUGUUCGUGUCCUCUGAACUUAUUUGUGGAGUUCAAGAUGGACUAGAAGCUUCACCGGGCACUGUUCUGCACAACAGCAACAUCAAAAACAAACCUGCUGACUGUGAUUAGUUCCAAACCAGCAGUUCCAGAUCACACACUCAUAAACCAUUCUCCUUUGAUAACCCUGAUGUUGAAACAAAAGGUGGUGGUGACUUAUGCAGCAUCGGCCCCCAGGAACUGCCCGAGGGCCUCGUUGCAACAAUCUGAUAACCACAGAAAGCACUCGGGGGGUGGGGGUGAGUCGUGGCUCCCGCCCAUGUUUGUGAGUCUCUGGUGCCCAAAACACUCCUUCAGAAGCUCCCACUGAAUGGGGAGUGGAAAACUCUAGUCCACAUUAGUACUGAGGAAGAAAUCAUCGCAGAGAAUGAGUGACAAACUCUAGAACGCUUUGUAAACACAAAAAGAACAUUCCCACAACAGGCACAUUUAAAACAUGACAGGUCAAAAAUAAAGACCAAGGGCAGUCACAGAGUCAAGGGUGUGUCAGCCCAUAUUUAAGGAUCCUGCUAAAGGGGAUCACAUGUCGAAUAUCAUUGGGAAAAUACCGUAUACCAAGAUACCUUCGAUCACCUUAUAAAGACCACAUUCUUCAGCUCAGGAAUGUGAAAAAGACACCCCCAUUCCACUAGCUGCAUAUGCCAAAAAUCUAGGCCAUCAUUUAUUUCUCUUUUCUCCGUCACCUCUCCUCAUCAAUCUGUCUGUUAAGCCAACCUCCAAAUUAUAUAUUGAGGAGUUCCUGCUGUGGCUCAGUGGAAACGAAUAUGACUAGUGUCCAUGAGGAUGCAGGUUUGAUCCCUGGCCUUGAUCAGAGGGUUAAGGAUCUGGUGUUGCUGUGAGCUGUGUUGUAGGUGGCAUACGUGGUUUGGAUCUGGCGUUGCUGUGGCUGUGGCAUAGGCCAGCAGAUACAGGCGCAGNAAAAAAAAAAAAAAAAAAAAAAAAAAAAAAA
rnacentral:lncRNA from 1 species